GCGGGUAUCGUAUAACGGUAUUACCCGACUUUUCCAAAGUCGUGACAGGGGUUCGACUCCCCUUACCCGCUCCA
rnacentral:tRNA from 3 species